CAAAGUGCAGUGUUCCUAACCUAUUGUUGUCACCGCUGUGCUUAUCUCAGAUUCAACUUCUUGCUGUAAGUACUAAAAAGAAUGCCAACUUGUUACAUCGAGGGAUGCAAAAGCCGAAAUGAGGAAGGUAUCCGCUUAUUUCGCAUACCAAGAAGUGAAAAAAAUAAAGUAUGACGCAAAGAAUGGAUCAGAUUGAUUGGAAGAAACACAUUUCUGCCAGAAAAUGUCAAAAUUUGCGAGCUACAUUUUGGUGCGGAUCAAUUCGAAAGAAAACGAGAAGAUGGAAAACGACUGCUUCGUCCAUGUGCGAAGCCAAACUUAUUAGAGAAACAUUUUGAAGACAUGAUAUCUAAUCAGGAAAGUACCAGUAAUAAUACAAAUAAAGCAAGAUGUAAAUAUGACAAUAUUUAUUUCUAUAAUAAAUAUGGAAGAUAGUGUUUGUAAUAUUACAGACACCGAUGUAACAACUGCAACACUGAUAUCAAACAGUUUUCAUGACAAAAAGUUCGAAGUAUUGAGAAAUACUACAUGUAAUAGUAAAGAUUAUGAAAACAAUAUUCAAUCUUUACAGAAGGCAUUAAAAAGUUCGAGGCAGGAAUAUAGACGUUUAAAACAGAACUUGCAGACAUGAAAUAAUAAGUAUAUAAUAAGUAAUAAU
rnacentral:lncRNA from 1 species